UACAGAGGGGCAAGCGUUAUUCGGAAUUAUUGGGCGUAAAGGGCGCGUAGGCGGCCUUUCAAGUGACGGGUGAAAGCCCUCGGCUUAACCGAGGAACUGCCUGUCAGACUGGAAGGCUUGAGACCGGGAGAGGUGAGUGGAAUUCCCGAGUGUAGCGGUGAAAUGCGUAGAUAUUGGGAGGAACACCAGUGGCGAAGGCGGCUCACUGGACCGGUACUGACGCUGAGGCGCGAAAGCGUGGGGAGCAAACA
rnacentral:rRNA from 1 species